UGUCGGCCUCGAGCCCCGCCCCUUCCUGGAGCCCCGCCCAGCCUUCAACCGCUGGAGCUGGAGGCGGAGAUCCUUCUGGUUUGUGUCCUACUUGGGCGGAGAAACCACAGCCAAGUGUGAGUCACAUGGAGAGUUCGUUCUUGACCGAGACGGCGUUCGCGGGCCGUGCGGUUCCCCCACCUGCGGUGCGCGGGUCAGUGCAACGGUUCGCACUCUGGACUCGCAUGUGUGCGGCUCAGUGGUCUCAGUCCCUGGGCACAGUUGCACGCCCAUCGCCACUGCGUGACUCCAGAGCAUGUGCGUCACCCGGAGUAGAAACCGUCUGCAUCAGCCUUCGGUCUCCCAGCCACCGGCAGCCACUAGUUACUUUUCGUCUGCACGGGCUUACCUGUUCUGCACAUUUCAGAUAAAGAGACGACUACUUAGCAAGAAAAAGGAGUCCACUCCGGACGCACACAGCUUGUAUGAAGCCCUGGAGAAUUAUGCGGAAAGGCCGGUGCAACAAGGUUACGCGCUUUACAUACUCUCCUGAUUCCAUUUACAUAAAAGUCUUGAAACGUGAAAAUUACAGAAAUGGAGACCAUAUUUGUGAUUGGUAGGGGAGGAGAGAAUGGGGAGUGGAAGCGCCCUACAAGGGCUACGUGAGGGACCUCGUGCUGAGGACAUCUGGCUUCCAGCUGCACCCCAGCCUUCUUGUGCUCAGAAACACCAGACAGCACUGCACGCGGGGGCCACUGGAAACAGCAAAACCACCAACUAAAGGGCAAAAAUUGCAAAAAUCGUGGUAAUAAAUGGAUCCCGAAAGGGGCCAUUUACAACCUGGGCUGGAAUAAGUUGGCAAAAUGGUGCUUUGUUCAAGCCCAGCUGGACACAUGUAUGGCCAGCACUCGAAGUUUUCACCACUCUGCGUUGUGUGCAAUGACCCUGAAAACACCGGGAGUAUUGAUUUGGAGGUUACAAACAUGACAGAUUAAUUUCAGGCAGUAGGCAGAUUUACAAGUACAGAAGCAACUAAUAAUGGGGCGUGAAUGUCCUUGUAUUAAUCCCCUUUGCAAGUCAGGAAAAGGACAGUCAAGGAGCUUCAGCAAUUUCAUUGCCUCAACCUCGUUCAGUGAGAACAGACUAUGAUUCACGUGUUUCUCUAGCACAGGGAUUCUCAACCCAUGCUGUUGAUAUUUGGAGCCAGAGAAUUCUCCGUUGUGGGGGGCCUGUCGUGUGCAUCGUAGGAUGUGGAGCAGCAUCUCUGGUCUGUACCCACCCAACACCAGCAUCAUCUCCAUCCCCCAAGUCACGAUAACCAAAAAUGUUCCCAGACACCACCAAAUGUCCCUUAGGGGCAGAAUCCCUGCCCUACUGUGAGAACCACUGGUCUAGGGACUU